UUUGUCGAAAACGAAAAUCAUGAGAUUUAUUCACAAGGUAUUUAGAACUUUGGUCGAAGUAAGAAAAUGAAGACUGGACAAUUUAGUUUUGUAAGUGAAUUCCUGGACGAAUUCUACGCCGAGUCUUUUUUUCCAUUUCAUCGUCAGACUUCCGCAUUCCUAGGUUGGGAAAAUUUUGCUCGUUUCGCAGCAUCCUUGAGCACGAUAUCUUUAAUCAACCCCAAAAUAGCUUCGUGUUGUCGCCGCUACGCGUCGUAUCUCGACCCACCACUGCUGCGCUGCAUUGCAGCAUCGACCGGUUCUUUUUUUCCCCGACCUCGCACCCCCACAUCUUCUUCGCACCUUUGCACAGCGCACUGCUCCUAUCCGCUCCUACACCCUCUCACGACCCCUUUCUCACCCCUCGUCGGAAUCGCGCGCGCUGCUGCCGAUGAUGGUGGUGGUGGUGGUGGUGGUGGUGGUGGUGACUUCGAUCGACAUCCCCGACAGUUUUUCGCAGGACGCUUGUUGCUUCUACACUACGAGCGGAUGUGAACUUGUCCUAUCCGUGUUUGCUUCACGCGCACCUACGCCGCCAACGAAGGAUUCAGUCGAGGAUUCCCUCGAGAAUCCCUCGCGUUUCAGCUACUCUUUCAUGGAUAUUGUUUGUCUCUCCACUACGGUGAACAAAACACGGUCAACAGUGAUAUCGGUGUUACCCUCUCGAUGAAUGUUUCUCCGAUUGUUAAUUAAUUAAGGUUCCCGAUGCUCGCUUGAAGAGGACCUUCGCUCAUCCCCCGAUGAUGAUCGACCGGCGUUCUUGCGGGCGCGCAAAUAUGCUGCGAAACUCGGCUCUCUCGAAGGAUCGCGGCACGUCCGCGCCCGCGUCACCGUCGUAACCUGCGACUGACGAUUAUUCAUGCCAAAAGGAACACCUGCGCGUGUGCACGAGUCCGGGGACACCUUCCCGCCUUCUCCGCUCCUCGCAGAAGCCCCACGAAGAUUCGUCGCGCACUACGACCAACUGUCGCUUCUCUCGAUGAGCGAGAGUUACCUGCUACCGUUGAGCAGGCGUCCUGCGGAGGAUCAGGUCGACGAGGAUGAAGUCAGAGAGGAACAAUGGAUACUUGCGGACCAGCGUCGUCGUCACCGAGCCAUCGUCAGGCAACUUGUCAGAGCCGGGAUCAGCUGGUCAAGACACUGUGCUCAUCGCGAAUCCUCUUCAGGUAACUUACGGUCCGCGCGGAGGAACCACCACAACCGUUCUCCAACCGCCAACCAGGCCGCGAAGACCAGUCGGUGUGACACGCGCCACUUCGAUUACACGAAGACAAAGAGGACCGGCGAGUAGACAGCGUCUGUUGGGCGUGUUGGCUAUUGCUCUGUUGGCCACUUGUCUCUUCAUACUUUUGCUAUUGGUGUUGAACACCACUCGUGAAUGCGUUCAAGAGCCCUAUCAAAACGUUUGCAUGUCGGAAGAAUGCGUAAGAACAGCGGCAAGUUUAUUGACGGCGAUGGAUCGCACCGCAUCACCUUGUGUCGAUUUUUUCCAAUACGCCUGUGGCACAUGGAAUCGAUUGCACGUGAUACCGGAGGACAGAAGCUCCAUCAGCACCUUCGAGGUUCUAGCCGAUCAAUUGCAGGUGAUCCUGAAGCGUAUCCUCGAGGAACCGCCCAACGCGGGUGACAGUAAUGCUACUCUCAAGGCGAAGAUGUUCUACAAGUCGUGUAUGGACAUCCCUCGUAUACGAGAAAUCGGAGAUAUUCCUCUGAAGGAGAUCUUGGAGUAUCUUGGAGGAUGGCCAGCAGUGGUGGGCGCAUCCUGGAAGCCGCCGUCUUAUUCUUUGGAGGUCCUUCUGGGUCGUCUACGCGGCGAGUACAACGAGGGUGUGCUGAUAGAGCAAUGGGUCGGCCCAGACGACAAGAACUCCUCGACCAACAUCCUGCAGUUGGAUCAGAUGCAAAUGGCAUUACCUGGUAGGGAUUACUACCUGAAGAAGAGCAGCGAGCCCGAGCUGAAGGCUUAUCAUAAAUACAUGACAAACGUUGCCGUGCUGAUGGGAGCAGAUCCCUUUUCGGCGACCGAAGAGUUCGACCGGGUGAUCGUUUUAGAGAAGCAACUCGCUAAUAUCUCGUUGCCGGAAGCGGACAGGCACGAUACUUCGGCGAUUUAUCGAAAACUGACGUUGCGUGAACUGCAGCAGGAGGUUCCGCAGCUACAGUGGCUCGUUUACCUGCAAGAAUUCAUCAACGCGCCGAUCAACGAGGAGGAGCCCGUUGUGGCAUACGCGAUGCCGUACUUCGUGCAGAUGGGCCGUAUAAUCUCUAGGACAGAUCGCAGGACUCUACACAACUACAUCUUGUGGCGACUCGUCAUGUCGAUUAUGCCUCACAUGAUCGACGAAUACCAGCAGAAACGAAUCGAAUUUCGCAAGAUCCUGUUGGGGAUUCUGAGCGAAAGGAACAGAUGGUCGCAAUGCGUUGAAUGGACCAACAAGAAACUCGGAAUGGCGGUCGGUGCCCUUUUUAUACGCGACAAUUUUAAUCACGAGAGUAAGGAGACUGCUCUGGAGAUGAUACGGACGAUUCGUGAAGCUUUUAACGAAUUGUUGGCUGAAAAUCAUUGGAUGGACGACGAGACUCGAACGGUGGCGAAAAAAAAGGCGGACUCGAUGAACGAGCGAAUCGGAUAUCCCGAGUUUCUCAAAGAUCCACUCGAGCUCUCGAUGGAAUACGUGAUGUUAAACAUAACAGAAAAUCACUUCUUGAAAAACAUUCUUGCCGUGCUGAAGUAUGACGCUUAUCACAAUUUGCAAAAGCUGCGAAUGCCGGUUGACAAGAACAAGUGGUCGACCGAGCCGGCCGUGGUGAACGCUUUCUACAAUCCCAACAAGAACGACAUAGUAUUCCCUGCGGGGAUUCUACAGCCGCUUUUUUACUCCCAGCACUUUCCCAAGUCCUUGAAUUACGGCGGUAUCGGUGUAGUGAUCGGUCACGAGAUCACCCACGGUUUCGACGACAAGGGUCGUCAGUUCGAUAAGGAUGGCAACAUGAUGCAAUGGUGGAAUAACGCCACUAUCAAGGCGUUUCGUAAGAGAGCGCAAUGCAUCGUGGACCAGUACUCCAAGUACAAGUUGCAGGAGGUAAAUCUGUACAUCAACGGGAGGAUGACUCAAGGAGAAAAUAUCGCGGAUAACGGUGGUCUCAAGCAGUCCUUCAGGGUAAUGAUAUAGUCACGUUACCAGACGAUAUGUUCAACAAUGAUUCUCAAUUUCAAGGAUCCAGGAGUCUGCAAGUUCAAAACGAAAAUUUUGUUAGAAGAAAAUCGAGGUGCAGGCUUACAAGAAGUGGGUUUCUAUUCAUGGUGAGGAACCUUUGCUCCCGGGGGUGAAUCUCACGCAC
rnacentral:misc_RNA from 1 species